UUAGCUUUGUUCACAUAAAAUUUACUUGUGUAAUGAAUGUUGAAUGAACUAAUGAAUAUUAGAAAUGCAAAUAACACUUAUUUCAUGAAAGAAAGUUCUAGCAUAAUUUUUUAAAAGAUAAAUGUAUGUGUAAAACUUUUUACUUGGUUGUAGAUCCCACCAGGUACUUCUUCUCAUACAAGAUUGAAGUUACUAGGAAAAGGCAUCAAAAGAGUAGGUUCACAUGGUUAUGGGGAUCAUUUUGUUCACGUCAAGCUUGAAAUACCACAACAGUUAACUCCUGAACAGAAAGCCUUGUUUCAGGUGUAUGCUGAAACAGAAUGUGACACACCAGGCACAAUAGAUGGUCUCACUAAUAUAAGAGAAGGUAAAAUUGUGAUGGAUGAUCCCAGUGGUUUGGUAAGUCAUCUUCGAAAUAUUUUGAAAGGAGAUGUGUCUGAUGAUGAUGAAAAGCUACCAAAGAAAUUUAUAGAUGAAAAAAAGGCUGAGGAUAUGAAUAGCUAGUUCUCGUAUAUAAAAUCAUUAUUUGUUAUUGCUGCUUUUUUGAAAAACUGUAAUUAUUUUUUGUAUAAAAUAUCAUACCAUGUUUACGUACUGAUUCUGGAGAUUUCAGUUACAAAUAAGCCAAAUCCAUUUUUUGGGAUCAACACAGGCCCUGUAACAGAUGAAAUUUUUGCAUGUUAAAGAAAUUAUAUCUGAUUUCAUAUAGGAGUAAUUUUUUACAUUUAGUACACAAGGUCUUUUUAUUAAAUUAAGAUUUUUUAAAAUUUUGAAAGCUAAAACAUAAAAAUAACCAAAAGAGUUUGAAUGUGAAACAUUAUUGAAUAUUUAUUAACUUUAAGAAUUGUAUGUUUCAUGAGUACACAAAAAGAUAUUAACAAGGGUGUAUUAAUGUGGCAUAAGGAAAGUCAUGUUAGGCUUAAAAUGUCUUGAGUUUGUGAAGCAAAAUACCAGAUCUGAGGAAAAAUAGUAUUUCAAGUCUGAGCUGAGAUUCUGUUUUAUUCCUUAAGUUUUAUGUCUAAAACAUCAAUAAAGAGACAUGAUAAAAACCACAUUUUUCAAAGUUCAUUACAUUCAUUAGAUCAAAAAACAGUUCCUUUUUAACUUUAACAUGUAACAUGCUUUCGACCUUCCAUGGUUAGUACUUUGAUAAUUACUUUUUCCAAAUAUUGCUGUAAUUCUCUGUUGUAGUUAUAGAGCAACUCGCUCUUUUGAAAGUUGUACUGUUAUAUAAAGUUUUUCUUUUAAGCAAAUAUAGCAAGAAACUUAAUAGAUCCUAUAUGAAUCAUUUAGUCUUAAUAACUUUUGUUUCAUAAAAUAUUAUUAUCUUUUGAGAGUUGUAAUAAAAACAACAUGAAUCCAUUAUAAUUUUGGGGAACUUCAUAUUAGUUCUUAGAAGUUAUAAUAUUGUAGAUAUUGCUAAUUAAAGCAUCAGGACCUUGGAAACAGUAACAUAUUAAGCUGUAUAUGUUUAAACAAUUUAUU